GUUUGUCUGGGUCAGUUUCACUUUUGACCGGAGUGGGAAAGCGCCAGAAUUCAGCCUCUUAUUAAGUAACCCUUACUGUGCAAAAUUAGCUCUUCCGGAAUGUGAGUGGGAUACAAGAGGAGAGGAGAGAAGAGAAGAGAGAAACUAAGGAAAGGUACAGACUUUGGUUGGAGGCAGUAAGUCUGCAUGUCUGAAUAUAGAGAGCUAUUUCGCCCAGACCCUAACAUUUAUACCAACACUAAUAACUUCUGUUACACCAUCACUGGUUCUAAUACUCACCCAUGCAUUGAUGAUGAAGGAGGCCCACAACCUACCAAGAGAAAAUAGACUUCUAUAUUCUUGAGUUAAGGAGCAAAUCAAAAAUGUCAGAAACAUGCUGGAUGUGCUGGCCACCAGAGUGGAUUCAAGAGUGGCAGGAAUUGUUCCAAGCCUAGUGAGUCCAGACAUCAAGGAAGAUGGCAAGCUGACUGGACUGGAGAGUGCCUGGAAGGACAGCACUGGUGCCUUUGGAAGAGCAGGAAAAUAACCAUAAAAAAGGACUAUUGUCAUCCUCUAUCACAGUGAACUCGGACCCAACUUUCCAGGACCUCAUUGCCACUUCUAUGACUCCAACAUGAUGUCUUCAAAGUCUUGAGCAACAUUCUUAUUUUUAAGUAAGCACUAUAGUAGGCCUGAAGGCUGAUCCUGCACCAUUGAAGUCAAUGGGAGUUUUUGCCAUUGACUUCAAUGAGUGCAGGAUCAAGCCUUUCAACAUUGGAGAUAGGAGAAAUA